rnacentral:rRNA from 6 species
UUAAGCGACUAAGCGUACACGGUGGAUGCCCUGGCAGUCAGAGGCGAUGAAGGACGUGCUAAUCUGCGAUAAGCGUCGGUGAGGUGAUAUGAACCGUUAUAACCGGCGAUUUCCGAAUGGGGAAACCCAGUGUGAUUCGUCACACUAUCAUUAACUGAAUCCAUAGGUUAAUGAGGCGAACCGGGGGAACUGAAACAUCUAAGUACCCCGAGGAAAAGAAAUCAACCGAGAUUCCCCCAGUAGCGGCGAGCGAACGGGGAGGAGCCCAGAGCCUGAAUCAGUGUGUGUGUUAGUGGAAGCGUCUGGAAAGGCGUGCGAUACAGGGUGACAGCCCCGUACACAAAAAUGCACAUACUGUGAGCUCGAUGAGUAGGGCGGGACACGUGGUAUCCUGUCUGAAUAUGGGGGGACCAUCCUCCAAGGCUAAAUACUCCUGACUGACCGAUAGUGAACCAGUACCGUGAGGGAAAGGCGAAAAGAACCCCGGCGAGGGGAGUGAAAAAGAACCUGAAACCGUGUACGUACAAGCAGUGGGAGCCUCUUAAUGGGGUGACUGCGUACCUUUUGUAUAAUGGGUCAGCGACUUAUAUUCUGUAGCAAGGUUAACCGAAUAGGGGAGCCGAAGGGAAACCGAGUCUUAACUGGGCGUUAAGUUGCAGGGUAUAGACCCGAAACCCGGUGAUCUAGCCAUGGGCAGGUUGAAGGUUGGGUAACACUAACUGGAGGACCGAACCGACUAAUGUUGAAAAAUUAGCGGAUGACUUGUGGCUGGGGGUGAAAGGCCAAUCAAACCGGGAGAUAGCUGGUUCUCCCCGAAAGCUAUUUAGGUAGCGCCUCGUGAAUUCAUCUCCGGGGGUAGAGCACUGUUUCGGCAAGGGGGUCAUCCCGACUUACCAACCCGAUGCAAACUGCGAAUACCGGAGAAUGUUAUCACGGGAGACACACGGCGGGUGCUAACGUCCGUCGUGAAGAGGGAAACAACCCAGACCGCCAGCUAAGGUCCCAAAGUCAUGGUUAAGUGGGAAACGAUGUGGGAAGGCCCAGACAGCCAGGAUGUUGGCUUAGAAGCAGCCAUCAUUUAAAGAAAGCGUAAUAGCUCACUGGUCGAGUCGGCCUGCGCGGAAGAUGUAACGGGGCUAAACCAUGCACCGAAGCUGCGGCAGCGACACUAUGUGUUGUUGGGUAGGGGAGCGUUCUGUAAGCCUGUGAAGGUGUACUGUGAGGUAUGCUGGAGGUAUCAGAAGUGCGAAUGCUGACAUAAGUAACGAUAAAGCGGGUGAAAAGCCCGCUCGCCGGAAGACCAAGGGUUCCUGUCCAACGUUAAUCGGGGCAGGGUGAGUCGACCCCUAAGGCGAGGCCGAAAGGCGUAGUCGAUGGGAAACAGGUUAAUAUUCCUGUACUUGGUGUUACUGCGAAGGGGGGACGGAGAAGGCUAUGUUGGCCGGGCGACGGUUGUCCCGGUUUAAGCGUGUAGGCUGGUUUUCCAGGCAAAUCCGGAAAAUCAAGGCUGAGGCGUGAUGACGAGGCACUACGGUGCUGAAGCAACAAAUGCCCUGCUUCCAGGAAAAGCCUCUAAGCAUCAGGUAACAUCAAAUCGUACCCCAAACCGACACAGGUGGUCAGGUAGAGAAUACCAAGGCGCUUGAGAGAACUCGGGUGAAGGAACUAGGCAAAAUGGUGCCGUAACUUCGGGAGAAGGCACGCUGAUAUGUAGGUGAAGUCCCUCGCGGAUGGAGCUGAAAUCAGUCGAAGAUACCAGCUGGCUGCAACUGUUUAUUAAAAACACAGCACUGUGCAAACACGAAAGUGGACGUAUACGGUGUGACGCCUGCCCGGUGCCGGAAGGUUAAUUGAUGGGGUUAGCGGUAACGCGAAGCUCUUGAUCGAAGCCCCGGUAAACGGCGGCCGUAACUAUAACGGUCCUAAGGUAGCGAAAUUCCUUGUCGGGUAAGUUCCGACCUGCACGAAUGGCGUAAUGAUGGCCAGGCUGUCUCCACCCGAGACUCAGUGAAAUUGAACUCGCUGUGAAGAUGCAGUGUACCCGCGGCAAGACGGAAAGACCCCGUGAACCUUUACUAUAGCUUGACACUGAACAUUGAGCCUUGAUGUGUAGGAUAGGUGGGAGGCUUUGAAGUGUGGACGCCAGUCUGCAUGGAGCCGGCCUUGAAAUACCACCCUUUAAUGUUUGAUGUUCUAACGUUGGCCCCUGACCGGGGUUGCGGACAGUGUCUGGUGGGUAGUUUGACUGGGGCGGUCUCCUCCUAAAGAGUAACGGAGGAGCACGAAGGUUGGCUAAUCCUGGUCGGACAUCAGGAGGUUAGUGCAAUGGCAUAAGCCAGCUUGACUGCGAGCGUGACGGCGCGAGCAGGUGCGAAAGCAGGUCAUAGUGAUCCGGUGGUUCUGAAUGGAAGGGCCAUCGCUCAACGGAUAAAAGGUACUCCGGGGAUAACAGGCUGAUACCGCCCAAGAGUUCAUAUCGACGGCGGUGUUUGGCACCUCGAUGUCGGCUCAUCACAUCCUGGGGCUGAAGUAGGUCCCAAGGGUAUGGCUGUUCGCCAUUUAAAGUGGUACGCGAGCUGGGUUUAGAACGUCGUGAGACAGUUCGGUCCCUAUCUGCCGUGGGCGCUGGAGAACUGAGGGGGGCUGCUCCUAGUACGAGAGGACCGGAGUGGACGCAUCACUGGUGUUCGGGUUGUCAUGCCAAUGGCACUGCCCGGUAGCUAAAUGCGGAAGAGAUAAGUGCUGAAAGCAUCUAAGCACGAAACUUGCCCCGAGAUGAGUUCUCCCUGACUCCUUGAGAGUCCUGAAGGAACGUUGAAGACGACGACGUUGAUAGGCCGGGUGUGUAAGCGCAGCGAUGCGUUGAGCUAACCGGUACUAAUGAACCGUGAGGCUUAACCUU